rnacentral:rRNA from 1 species
UUUGAAAUCUGGCCCCCUGGGGUCCGAGUUGUAAUUUGGAGAGGAUGCCUCGGUGGAGGCCCCGGCCGAAGUGCCUUUGAACGGGCCGUCAGAGAGGGUGAGAACCCCGUCCGCGGUCGCCGGCCCCCACCGUGUGAGGCUCCUUCGACGAGUCGAGUUGUUUGGGAAUGCAGCUCUAAAUGGGAGGUAAAUUCCUUCCAAGGCUAAAUAUCCGCCAGAGACCGAUAGCGCACAAGUAGAGUGAUCGAAAGGUGAAAAGCACUUUGAAAAGAGGGUGAAACAGCACGUGAAAUUGUUGAAAGGGAAGCGCUUGCAACCAGAGUCGUCCGCGGGGGCUCCACCGACCCUCGGGCCCGGUGUACUCCCCCGCGGCCGAGCCAGCAUCAGCUCGGCCGGUCGGAUAAAGGCCGUGGGAACGUGACACCCUCGGGUGUGUUAUAGCCCGCGGCACAAUACGGCCUGGCCGGGCUGAGGUCAGCGCCUUUGGCACGGAUGCUGGCGUAAUGGUUGUCAGCGGCCCGUCUUGAAACACGGACCAAGGAGUCUAACAUCUAUGCGAGUGUUCGGGUGUCAAACCCGUGAGCGGAAUGAAAGUGAACGGAGGUGGGAGCCCUCGGGCGCACCAUCGACCGAUCCGGAUGUCUUCGGAUGGAUUUGAGUAUGAGCAUAGCUGUUGGGACCCGAAAGAUGGUGAACUAUGCGUGAAUAGGGUGAAGCCAGAGGAAACUCUGGUGGAGGCUCGCAGCGGUUCUGACGUGCAAAUCGAUCGUCAAAUUUGCGCAUA